rnacentral:rRNA from 1 species
ACUAAGCGUACACGGUGGAUGCCCUGGCAGUCAGAGGCGAUGAAGGACGUGCUAAUCUGCGAUAAGCGUCGGUAAGGUGAUAUGAACCGUUAUAACCGGCGAUUUCCGAAUGGGGAAACCCAGUGUGAUUCGUCACACUAUCAUUAACUGAAUCCAUAGGUUAAUGAGGCGAACCGGGGGAACUGAAACAUCUAAGUACCCCGAGGAAAAGAAAUCAACCGAGAUUCCCCCAGUAGCGGCGAGCGAACGGGGAGCAGCCCAGAGCCUGAAUCAGUGUGUGUGUUAGUGGAAGCGUCUGGAAAGGCGCGCGAUACAGGGUGACAGCCCCGUACACAAAAAUGCACAUACUGUGAGCUCGAUGAGUAGGGCGGGACACGUGGUAUCCUGUCUGAAUAUGGGGGGACCAUCCUCCAAGGCUAAAUACUCCUGACUGACCGAUAGUGAACCAGUACCGUGAGGGAAAGGCGAAAAGAACCCCGGCGAGGGGAGUGAAAAAGAACCUGAAACCGUGUACGUACAAGCAGUGGGAGCACGCUUAGGCGUGUGACUGCGUACCUUUUGUAUAAUGGGUCAGCGACUUAUAUUCUGUAGCAAGGUUAACCGAAUAGGGGAGCCGAAGGGAAACCGAGUCUUAACUGGGCGUUAAGUUGCAGGGUAUAGACCCGAAACCCGGUGAUCUAGCCAUGGGCAGGUUGAAGGUUGGGUAACACUAACUGGAGGACCGAACCGACUAAUGUUGAAAAAUUAGCGGAUGACUUGUGGCUGGGGGUGAAAGGCCAAUCAAACCGGGAGAUAGCUGGUUCUCCCCGAAAGCUAUUUAGGUAGCGCCUCGUGAAUUCAUCUCCGGGGGUAGAGCACUGUUUCGGCAAGGGGGUCAUCCCGACUUACCAACCCGAUGCAAACUGCGAAUACCGGAGAAUGUUAUCACGGGAGACACACGGCGGGUGCUAACGUCCGUCGUGAAGAGGGAAACAACCCAGACCGCCAGCUAAGGUCCCAAAGUCAUGGUUAAGUGGGAAACGAUGUGGGAAGGCCCAGACAGCCAGGAUGUUGGCUUAGAAGCAGCCAUCAUUUAAAGAAAGCGUAAUAGCUCACUGGUCGAGUCGGCCUGCGCGGAAGAUGUAACGGGGCUAAACCAUGCACCGAAGCUGCGGCAGCGACGCUUAUGCGUUGUUGGGUAGGGGAGCGUUCUGUAAGCCUGCGAAGGUGUGCUGUGAGGCAUGCUGGAGGUAUCAGAAGUGCGAAUGCUGACAUAAGUAACGAUAAAGCGGGUGAAAAGCCCGCUCGCCGGAAGACCAAGGGUUCCUGUCCAACGUUAAUCGGGGCAGGGUGAGUCGACCCCUAAGGCGAGGCCGAAAGGCGUAGUCGAUGGGAAACAGGUUAAUAUUCCUGUACUUGGUGUUACUGCGAAGGGGGGACGGAGAAGGCUAUGUUGGCCGGGCGACGGUUGUCCCGGUUUAAGCGUGUAGGCUGGUUUUCCAGGCAAAUCCGGAAAAUCAAGGCUGAGGCGUGAUGACGAGGCACUACGGUGCUGAAGCAACAAAUGCCCUGCUUCCAGGAAAAGCCUCUAAGCAUCAGGUAACAUCAAAUCGUACCCCAAACCGACACAGGUGGUCAGGUAGAGAAUACCAAGGCGCUUGAGAGAACUCGGGUGAAGGAACUAGGCAAAAUGGUGCCGUAACUUCGGGAGAAGGCACGCUGAUAUGUAGGUGAAGUCCCUCGCGGAUGGAGCUGAAAUCAGUCGAAGAUACCAGCUGGCUGCAACUGUUUAUUAAAAACACAGCACUGUGCAAACACGAAAGUGGACGUAUACGGUGUGACGCCUGCCCGGUGCCGGAAGGUUAAUUGAUGGGGUUAGCGCAAGCGAAGCUCUUGAUCGAAGCCCCGGUAAACGGCGGCCGUAACUAUAACGGUCCUAAGGUAGCGAAAUUCCUUGUCGGGUAAGUUCCGACCUGCACGAAUGGCGUAAUGAUGGCCAGGCUGUCUCCACCCGAGACUCAGUGAAAUUGAACUCGCUGUGAAGAUGCAGUGUACCCGCGGCAAGACGGAAAGACCCCGUGAACCUUUACUAUAGCUUGACACUGAACAUUGAGCCUUGAUGUGUAGGAUAGGUGGGAGGCUUUGAAGUGUGGACGCCAGUCUGCAUGGAGCCGACCUUGAAAUACCACCCUUUAAUGUUUGAUGUUCUAACGUUGACCCGUAAUCCGGGUUGCGGACAGUGUCUGGUGGGUAGUUUGACUGGGGCGGUCUCCUCCUAAAGAGUAACGGAGGAGCACGAAGGUUGGCUAAUCCUGGUCGGACAUCAGGAGGUUAGUGCAAUGGCAUAAGCCAGCUUGACUGCGAGCGUGACGGCGCGAGCAGGUGCGAAAGCAGGUCAUAGUGAUCCGGUGGUUCUGAAUGGAAGGGCCAUCGCUCAACGGAUAAAAGGUACUCCGGGGAUAACAGGCUGAUACCGCCCAAGAGUUCAUAUCGACGGCGGUGUUUGGCACCUCGAUGUCGGCUCAUCACAUCCUGGGGCUGAAGUAGGUCCCAAGGGUAUGGCUGUUCGCCAUUUAAAGUGGUACGCGAGCUGGGUUUAGAACGUCGUGAGACAGUUCGGUCCCUAUCUGCCGUGGGCGCUGGAGAACUGAGGGGGGCUGCUCCUAGUACGAGAGGACCGGAGUGGACGCAUCACUGGUGUUCGGGUUGUCAUGCCAAUGGCACUGCCCGGUAGCUAAAUGCGGAAGAGAUAAGUGCUGAAAGCAUCUAAGCACGAAACUUGCCCCGAGAUGAGUUCUCCCUGACUCCUUGAGAGUCCUGAAGGAACGUUGAAGACGACGACGUUGAUAGGCCGGGUGUGUAAGCGCAGCGAUGCGUUGAGCUAACCGGUACUAAUGAACCGUGAGGCUUAACC